rnacentral:rRNA from 1 species
UGCCUGAUGGAGGGGGAUAACUACUGGAAACGGUGGCUAAUACCGCAUAACGUCGCAAGACCAAAGAGGGGGACCUUCGGGCCUCUUGCCAUCAGAUGUGCCCAGAUGGGAUUAGCUUGUUGGUGAGGUAACGGCUCACCAAGGCGACGAUCCCUAGCUGGUCUGAGAGGAUGACCAGCCACACUGGAACUGAGACACGGUCCAGACUCCUACGGGAGGCAGCAGUGGGGAAUAUUGCACAAUGGGCGCAAGCCUGAUGCAGCCAUGCCGCGUGUAUGAAGAAGGCCUUCGGGUUGUAAAGUACUUUCAGCGGGGAGGAAGGUGUUGUGGUUAAUAACCGCAGCAAUUGACGUUACCCGCAGAAGAAGCACCGGCUAACUCCGUGCCAGCAGCCGCGGUAAUACGGAGGGUGCAAGCGUUAAUCGGAAUUACUGGGCGUAAAGCGCACGCAGGCGGUCUGUCAAGUCGGAUGUGAAAUCCCCGGGCUCAACCUGGGAACUGCAUUCGAAACUGGCAGGCUUGAGUCUUGUAGAGGGGGGUAGAAUUCCAGGUGUAGCGGUGAAAUGCGUAGAGAUCUGGAGGAAUACCGGUGGCGAAGGCGGCCCCCUGGACAAAGACUGACGCUCAGGUGCGAAAGCGUGGGGAGCAAACAGGAUUAGAUACCCUGGUAGUCCACGCCGUAAACGAUGUCUACUUGGAGGUUGUGCCCUUGAGGCGUGGCUUCCGGAGCUAACGCGUUAAGUAGACCGCCUGGGGAGUACGGCCGCAAGGUUAAAACUCAAAUGAAUUGACGGGGGCCCGCACAAGCGGUGGAGCAUGUGGUUUAAUUCGAUGCAACGCGAAGAACCUUACCUGGUCUUGACAUCCACAGAACUUUCCAGAGAUGGAUUGGUGCCUUCGGGAACUGUGAGACAGGUGCUGCAUGGCUGUCGUCAGCUCGUGUUGUGAAAUGUUGGGUUAAGUCCCGCAACGAGCGCAACCCUUAUCCUUUGUUGCCAGCGGUCCGGCCGGGAACUCAAAGGAGACUGCCAGUGAUAAACUGGAGGAAGGUGGGGAUGACGUCAAGUCAUCAUGGCCCUUACGACCAGGGCUACACACGUGCUACAAUGGCGCAUACAAAGAGAAGCGACCUCGCGAGAGCAAGCGGACCUCAUAAAGUGCGUCGUAGUCCGGAUUGGAGUCUGCAACUCGACUCCAUGAAGUCGGAAUCGCUAGUAAUCGUGGAUCAGAAUGCCACGGUGAAUACGUUCCCGGGCCUUGUACACACCGCCCGUCACACCAUGGGAGUGGGUUGCAAAAGAAGUAGGUAGCUUAACCUUCGGGAGGGCGCUUACCACUUUGUGAUUCAUGACUGGGGUGAAGUCGUAACAAGGUAACCGUAGGGGAACCUGCGGUUGGA